ensembl:lncRNA uncharacterized LOC114435464
GAAACUGUUUUGUUUAUGAGAGGCUACAUCCUGUUGCUCACAACUCCAGUGUAUUAUGUACCAGUCUGGAGAUAUCCCUGCAGGAAAUCUGUGUUUAUUUAUGUAUCUAAGAAACCUUACCGCACCCAUCACCAGAAGCGUUUAGAGGACUUUCGCUUUUCUCCACCAGUCUGGAGCUUCGAGCUAACACUAGCGGGCGUCAGCGCGAGCUUGCACGGCUAGCCUGCUGCUCUGCGCUGCGUACGGUGGAGGACAAACUGACUUCUUGUUUCUGCGUAUUUUGACUGUUUACUCAAACCGGAGUCCCUGUGGUCAUCAUGGCGAGUAAAAACGCAAAGACCCGCGCGGGAAAUGGUGUGGAAAGUGGUCCGUCAUCUGAAUCAAACGAGCACGACUAUGCCCACUCUGCUGAGACUAACUUUACCUCCACGGAGGCGUCCUCCUCCGGUACAACAGCCGAACCCACGCAGAGCGCCACAGUGCAGCCCUCCUCCUCCUCCUUGCAGGUAGAGCUACCCGAACCGGCCUUAGGGGCGGAGGUGGACUGCCCUGGUGGAAAUGAUAUAGAAUCGCAGAACGGAUCAGACUCCCGAAAGACAGCAGCGUCUAAACCUGCGGCUGUUUCGCGGGGACGUCGGCGACCCAGCCGGGUGGACGCCCGCACGAAACAGCGGGACGCCAACUGCUGCUGCUGCAAAACGUGUUUGAGAGAGUUCGAGAGGCAGGGCCGCUCCUUCAACCGGAGGGCGGUGUACACCUUCACCACCACGGAGACUGUGCACUGGGCUUUCCCGGGCUGCGCGGUGCAUGACAAGUCCUUUCUGUGCGAGACCUGCGCCCAGGUCAUCAGGAGCAAAUGCAAACGCACACAGGCCGGCAAACGAACUCUGUGGGUGAAGCCGCCGGUGACCAAAAAAACGAUGGACAAGAAGAUGCUGGGACGUAGGAUGGGUAAGAAGAGCAAAGCUGCACUGCUGGUGAGCAAGUCCAGCUACAAAGCCGCUUUCCAAAUGCUCUGGUCUGCCAAAGGUGCCCGUAAACCCAUGAUGGAGUUCUGGAAGAAACAGCUGAAAGCGGAGAUGAAGGUGUUGUCACGGCAGCCGGACAGUCCCUUCCAUCAGAAAGUGUCAGGCCGGAAACCGCUGUCAUCCUUCCCCUGGCGUCGAUGUUUGAACUGGGCUCAGGACAAAGCUCCACUCGUGAUCUCCUGUCUCCGCUCACUGUUCCCUGAUAUCAACGCCCUCUACAAAAGCAACCACCAGUUGACGGAGGAGCAGGCCUACACGCUGCUGGAACGCCGGGCUGUGGUGGCACUCUCCAUCCCGCUCUUUACCAGGAACAUCUGGAAGAAUAACUUUCUGCAGGCCGCUCUGGGAGCUGAGCUCCGCCUGCAGGGCUGCUCUGGUACCGCCCUUGACACUCUCAACACCAUGGGGCUGUGUCAGAACAAGGACACCAUUAGGUUACUGCUGCACAGGCUGCGAAACGACAAGGACACGGAAGGAGAACAGGGAAUGAUCAAAUCAGAGCAGAUAAAGGAAUCGAUGACAGAUGUGGAAGAGGCGGAUUCUGAUGAGGAGGAGAAUGAGGAGGAAGAAAAAGAUGAGGAGGAGGAGGACGAUGAAGAGGAGGGGGAAAUGGUGAUGGGAGGAGAGGAAGAGGUGGAAGAAGAAGAAGUACAGGAUGGAGUGGAAGAGAUGGAGGAAGAUGAUGAAGAACAAGCAGUGGAGGAAAAACAGCAGAAGAAGAGGAAGAAGAAGGCGAAGAAGCAGAGGAAGGAGAGAGGGAAACGAAAGGCAAAGGAGAGAGAAGUGGAGGAGGAUGAAGAAGAGGAGGAUGAUGAAGGGUCAGAGCAGAAAAAAAGGAGGGUGGUGGUGGUGAGGCUCGGCCUGCUAAAAGGACACUCAGAGGUCGGACGAUCUGACCUAUCGGCUCCUUAAGACUGAGCAUGCUCUGCCCUUAAACUCAACAGGACCCACAUCCGAUCAGAGAGCUGCAGAGGUCCCGCCUUCUUCCAUGGCACAUGUUCAGAGGCAUUGUUGGAGUUGUAGGAGGUCAGUAACUGUUAAGGUUAAUCAAUGAGAGCUUUACUUUAAAUUGUCAUUUCCAGUGGCGUUAAUAAAAUAAUAACUUCAGAAAAUCA